rfam:Phialocephala scopiformis strain CBS 120377 unplaced genomic scaffold LY89scaffold_6, whole genome shotgun sequence.
GGGCGGAUGGUCUAGGGGUAGUAAGUAUUCAUCUCAACCCAUAGAAACUCUACUAAUGAGGAAAAAGUGAUUUUCGCUUCGCAUGUUUCGCUUCGUGCUUGUGAAAGGCCGGGGGUUCGAAUCCCCCUUCGUCCA